CCAGCUGCUGCGUCGCCGUGACCAGCCCCAGAGACACCGACAGUGUUAUCAUGCCAAUCGCCAUGCACACCGGCACAUAAUCGCCCUUCUGAACUGGUUUUGGAAACUGUAAUUUUGGCCUUGGUUGCUCUUGAAAAUGGGCGUAAUCGGCUGCGGUGGGCGCGUAGGAUUUACCUUUCGGAGUUGUUGAGGUUGCAUAAGUUGCAGUACUUCCUCUUAAGCCACCCAUUAGUGACCUUAAAUUACCCUGAAAAAAAAAAAAGUACACGAAAAAGAUUAUUUUUUCAAGUUCCAACUAUACAAGUCUCUUGGAUCUUGAUUGAAAGAUGAAAUAAGUAAAAUUACUUACGACUGAUCUGAAAGCCAUGACUGUAGUUUCUGUUUAGAGUGGGAGUUGUUCAAGGUUGAUGGGAAAAAAAGAGAUCCUUAUCUUGCUUUAUCUUUUCUUUGCAUUGCUUCAGUUGAUGUGCCAGCAUAUAUAUUUUAUAGAUAUAUAUUGGGUGAGACACAGAGGAGAGGGUUCUGGAGCCACGUAGUGAAAGCUGCGGAAGGGGAGUUACUGAGUGACACUUGUCAAGAGUGUAAAGUGCACACCUUGCUAUAGAACUCUCUUGAAGCAACACGUAUAAUCUGUCAACAAUUUUUCUGUUCUAUUUUAUUGGAAGAUUUUAAUUUUACAGACCAAUGAAAAUAAAUGGUUUGCCUCCGUUUGUCUUUGUAGAUGGCAAAUUGUUCGUUGACGUCUCAUCGGCCACUGGUUUAAUACGGUUUAAAUUUUUUUUUUAUUUGGACAGUAAUUGUUCACAUUAUGGAAGUGCUGACUAAUGAUCUAAAUUCUUUUAUUGUAAGAUACACAUAUUCAAUAUAAAGUUGGUAGGAUACAUAUAUUUACUUGGGUAUGGUAUUUAGAAAUUUCAUUUUAGUAUAUUAGUAGUUUUGUGAUAUGAAAUUUUAUAAUACGGGAAAAGUUAAAAAUUUUAAAAUCGUAAAAUUUAAAAGUUUUAUACGCUUUUUUUAAAUUUUUUCACACUUUAAAAUUUUGAAUUGAAAUAUUUUAAUUAAUAUAUUUUCAGAAUGUAUUAUAAAUUAUCUAAAGCUGACUUUCUAAUAAAUUCUACAUAGGAUCUAGUUAUAGUGCAGCUGUGGUAUGGUACCACAGUUGCACCAUAGCUAAGUCCCAUAAUAAUAUAUUUGUAGAGUGUAGAAACUUCAGGUUUCCAAAACACGGUGUUAUAAUAUAUUUAUAGAGGGUGACAAUUUCACUUUUGCCAUCUAAACACAUGUUACGUAUAAUAUUUUACGGUAAAGAUUUUGUCGCUUGUUAAACUAUCAAAACAAAAAACUGUAUUUGGUGUUAGGUUAGUUUCCCUUCAUGAUCUGAAUUUCAUGGGAUCUUCGAAAAACAAAAACGUAUCUUCACCCGUCAUACUAUCAAAACGAAAAUGUAUUUACUGCUAGGUUAGUUCCCUCUCAUGAUUGGAAUUUCUCGAGAACUUCUAAAAACAAAAACGUUCUGGCACUAGCGUAUGAUUGCAAUUUAACUAUCCUUUUAUUUUUAUUCAUUCACCAUUUAUGGUCUAAUUAUCACUCAUUAUUUACAUAGAGGUGACUAAUUUUAUUACUCUAGAGUUUAGGCAGACCGCUGAUCGGCAAACAAAUUCUUGGAAGGGCCUGUGCAUAGCAAUAGAAGCGCCAAUUGAAUUCCUUCAAUAAGACUAAAGCAUAUAUGCAGUAUGCCUGUAAGUUAAAUUUUUAAGGACAAGAAUUUCUGAUCUUAUUGCUAGAAUGAUUCAAGUUGAUGUGUACUAAUUCCAUCUAAGAUUAAAUAAAUCUCGUCAGAAUCUGGAUGCAAGCUAUCCCCAGAUACAAACUCAUGCAUAACCCCAUUCAAUUGAAUCAAGCUACAGCCAGCAUUCUUCUUGAUCUUCCCAGCGUCCAAAGAUCUUCGUAUCUUAACAACAUCUUCCCAUCUAUCCGCAUUGGCAUAAACAUCAGCCAGUACUUUAUAAACCCCACCAUCUUCAGGUUUCAACUUCAUCACAUGCUCUGCUGCUGCUUCCGCAAUCUCAACAUUGCCAUGAAUCCUACACCCUCCAAGCAAACCACUCCAAACAAACACAUCACCCCCCAUUGGCAUCUUCUUUAUCAUCUCCAAUGCUUCUUCAAUCAAACCAGCUCGCCCAAGCAAAUCCGCCAUGCACCCGUAAUGCUUUAGCUCUUUAGAAACCCCGUAAACAGAAUCCAUCUCAUCAAACAGCUUUCUCGCUUCAUCAACUAAACCUGCAUGGCUACAGCCCACCAAAGCUCCCAAAAUGGUGACGCCGUCGGGUUUAAUUCUAGCCUCUAUCAUUCUAGAGAAGUAAACGAGUGAUAGCCUGCCCAAGCCAUGCAUUGCAAGACCAACAAGCAUUGCAUUCCAUGUAAAUAAAUUCUUUUCUUGACUUGAUUCAAAAAUAUCUAUAGCAGUGUUAAUAUAACCACAUUUUGCAUAAAAAUCAACUAGCCCAGUUGACAAAAAUGAAUCAACUCGAAUUUGAUUAAGUUCAAUAUAACGAUGAAUAUUCUUCCCCUGUUCUAGUUCUCCCAAUCGGGCACAAGCUGAAAGAGCAGAAACUAAAGCAAUAUUAUCAGGUUUAAUAUCCAAAUCCAUCAUGUUGCAAAAGAGUUGAAUAGCCUCUUCGCAUUGAUCACUCUGUGCAUACCCUGCCACAAGGGUACCCCACGACACAGCAUCACGAAAUGGCAUUCUGUCAAACAACUGCCGCGCGUGUGCUAAAUCGCCGGCCUUCACAUAACCAUCGAUUAAUGUGUUACAAGAAACCACAUCUCUGUACAAAAUUUCAUCAAACAGUUCCUGUGCAUCUCGUAGACGAUGAAAAACACAGUACACGUGCAUGAGAGAAUUUAAAACGAACACAUCACAAAUAAACCCAAGUUUCAAAACUUGAGAGUGAAUGGUUUGGGCCAGUGAAUGGGAGCAGAGUUGAGAGCAAGCUCUAAGGAGAAAAGGGAAGGAAUAGAAGUCAGGAGGGAUUGAAACGGUGCGCAUUUGGGAGAACAAAACGACAGCGUUGAGGGGCGAGGAGAAGAGGGUGUGAGCACGAAUGAUGGUAUUAUAAGAAAAGGUUGAAGGGUAUGGAAUAUUAUUGAAAAUCGACAAUGCAUAGCUUAAUGGGUCUGUAGUGGGUGACGAUGCUGACGAUAUGGGUUUAAAAGUGGUGAUUGCGUAGAGGAUUGUUGUGAGAAUGUGACAAGGGCUGAGAAAGAGAAGGCCUUUGGUGAGGAAAUGGGCAUGGAUUUGGUGGAUUUGCUUGAUGGUUUUACAUCGUUUGAUUAAAUUAUUUAGUGUCAUCUUAUUUGUUGAAUCUGUCAGGAGCAGAGGAGGAAUAAAUAUUUGGCAACAUUGUUACCAAAUUGUUGAUGGAGCAUGGUCCGCAUGGACCUGGUGGAUGGCUUUCCAUUGUUCAGUGAAAUUAUUGAGUGUGUCAUUCUAUUUGACGAAGCGAAGCGAAAAAACUGAUUCAACUAAACAGUUUCAAAACGUGAACGGCAGGAUUCGAACCUGCGCGGGCGGCAGGAUUCGAACCUGCGCGGGCAGUUCAAAACGUGAACGGCAGGAUUCGAACCUGCGCGGGCAGAGCCCACAUGAUUUCUAGUCAUGCCCGAUAACCACUCCGGCACGUCCACUUGGGUGGCCUUACUUUUAAUGCUUUUAGGUUAUAAUUAUGAGCAAUGUGGGCACUCUCUAUUUAAUUGCCGAUAUACUACAAUCAGAAAUAUACUAGAAAUAACUUAGAUCAAUUCUAUGAUGUUGCGGUUUAGACUUUAUUCUCAUAUUGAGAUGCUUCUAUCCCUAUUAAUAUUAGAAAGAUAUAUCUACUCAAAUAAAUUUAGCAUUCGUAUUGAGAUACAUGUAUACUGUGCUACACAUCACAAAUUUUUACCAUUAAAAUUUAAUUACAAAUAAUAUAGCAUUCAUUUAUUGAUUUAUGAGAUAAUAUAAUUAAUUCAAAUAAAAUUAAUUAAAAAUUGUCAACCACAUAAUAAGAGACCCAUCCCAUGCCACAUCACUUGAGGUAAAUUUUAAAAUAAAAUUGUGCAAUGUCUGUUAUUACUUAAAAAUAUGAAUAGUGCUACGAAUUCCUAGUUGUUUCAUCUAUAAUUAAGAGAAGAAAUUGGAGUCUCAACACAAUGGUUGGGACUCAAGCCUUUGCUCUCAAAGUUGAGGCGCAAGGUCGCCAUUAAAUUAUGAGCCCAGUGGCAAGUGAAAUCAUUUUUUUUUUAAUAUUUACCACUUACGAAUAUGUUAUACUCUGAAUUUUACUGAGAAUCUAGAUACAUAUAUUUGCAGUACACUCCAAAAUUUACAUGAGAACUAACUUAGAAAUUUAUUCCAAUAAAUAUUUAGGGAGAUACCUAUUCUAUAUCCAAACCUUUUGGACAAGAGAAAUCGAGCCCCUAUUAAGAGCCUCAUGCCCUCAAGGGAUGUGGAGAGGAGGUGGGUUCACCACUGGGCAACGAAGCCUAGUAGUGAAAUCCAACUUGAAUCUUGUUCAUGACAGAAGAUAAAUUGUCAUAAUAUGGUUUAAGAAUUACAAAAAGAUUAUGAAAUAACAAGUUGCAAACACGACAAGAGAAGCAUGUUAUGAACAUUUGAUGAAGUUAAUAACCGUACGUUGUACAUAAUACAUACACAAGAGUUCCAAUUAGAGCAUGAUGUUUUAUUUUUUAGCUGUAUCUUGUCAAAAGGCAGACUUUACACGCAUGCCCUAGAAAAAGAAAAUUAAAAAGUAAUAUACUACAUCCGCCUUGGCCGUACAGCAGAUAUAUAUAUAUAUAUAUAUAUAUAGAAGAGAGAGGGGAAGAGAUGGAGAAUUAAAAAAUGCAAUAUGAAACAUAACUAGAAAUAUAAGCAAGACAGGAUUUCGAAAUCACCCAAAACUUUUUUUUUUCCAUUUAUUUUGUUAAACUUUAUGGGGAAUUUUGAGAUGUUGCACAUUAACAUAUAUCUCGUACAACUUCAUUUGAAUGUGUCAUCACCGAUCACUCAAUCAUCAUUUGCAUCGAAUUCAAUUUUAUGUGCGAAAAUGAAAAGAUCUUUGAGUGGUCAAAAAACACAUCCGUCCGUGUUACUAAUUUCUUAAGAAAUUAUAUGUUAUUUCUGGAUUAUUAAUUUUAUUUUUAAGUAUUUCAGUAUUAUUAUAGUUUUUUAACUAUUUUACAAAUAAAAAAAAUUAUAAGUAUGAGUCAGUUGAAAUUUAAUGGAAAAGUUUUACGAAAUAGUCAAAGUUCGAGAGCUAUUUUAAAUUUGACUAUAAAACAACGUUGCAAUUGCUGCAACUUUCCAUAACUUUUGUCUUUUUGUGGCUUAACUAUAUGGCAGUCCCUGAUAUUUUUAUAAAAUUAAAAAAGAACUAAAGGUUUAAAAUUUUUAUAUAUAAGUCAUACUUAGGAUAAAAUGACUUUUGAAAAUAAUCUUUUGAGUGCAGUUAACACUUGACUCUUGAGUGAUGAUGGUCGAGAAAGAUGGAGAAGAGACAAAAAUGAACCAUUGAACACCUAAUUAAUUACUACAAAAGAUAGGGCCUUUAGCGACACCAAUUAUUGUUACAAAAAGCUAGUUGCGACGAUUACAUGAUAGUGAAACACAAAAUCACUAUUGUACAGAAUCUUUUACGAUGGUUUAUUAACGUUUAAAAAAAAGCCACCUUCAUUUAAAAGAGUACUUGGAAACUAAUAAAUUUACUAUCCAAUCACUUUUAAUCAAUAAUAAAAUAUUAUCAUAAAGAUUCACAAACCUAAAAUUUUUAAAAUAAAACAACAUGGAUAGUUGUCAAGAAACACAAAGCUCAAAGCUUUUGAAUUAUUCAAAAAGAAAGAAAGAAAAUUUAAACUAGCUUCCUUUUUAUUAUCAUUUUCUUAAUCUUUCUAUAUAAUUGUAUUACACCACAUAAAAAAUUUAAAAUUGUUCUUUUAGAUUUUAAUGGCAAUUUUAUAGAUAAACUAAUAAGUUGUUUGUACGAAUAAACUAACAUGUUAGCUAAUACUAGAAGGGAAAAUGUGAUAGUAAAUUGGUAAAAUACUAAAGUGUUAUAGCCUAAUAUGCUUUUUAUUUCUACACUUUUUUAUUUCACAAUUUCAUGAAACAUUGAAAUAUUAAUAACUUAUAUUUUUAAAACAUAGUCAAUUUAUUUAGUCUUAUAUUAAAUUUAUAUUAUAUAUAAAAAAUCAUUUAUGUAAGAUUAAAUUGUUGUUUUUGUACCACGUUCAUUUUUAUGAUCAAAGUAGGUCAAUGAAUCAAAAUUAAAAAUUUUAAAACAACAUGACUUACAAAUGUAAAUAACAUGGAUUGCAAUAUUAAUAACCAAUUAAGCAAACCUCUAACUGUUGAAUCUAUUGGCUAAAUUAGAAAAGGAUAAAGUUGCAGUACCUUGCAAUUUUUUCAAGGUACCUAGAUCCUUAAUUUUAACUUACUUAUCAUUUUUUUUUUUUUUACAAAAGUACCUUUAAAUCAGAUUGUUCAAAAUUUUUUAAUAUAACAUCCCAGUUGUCGCUGAGUUCUGUCCAAAGAUGUGGCAAUCUGCAUGACGACGCUAAGUCCCCAUUUAGCCACCCACUGAACAACACCAACAAAAGCAAUCUACAAGGGCCAUAAUGAAGGUUAUUGCAAGAGACAGACCAAAUCAACAAUAAGGAAUAUAGAAUAAAGUAACUAACACAAUGCAUAGCUAUUCACAUAGGAAUCGACCCCUAACUUUUCUAUUCGCUGAAUAAAAAAAUAUGCAAAAUAACUCUAGGCUUUGUGUGCUCAAGGACUUCACUCUCUCUAGCAAAAUGUGGAUCCCUAAAACACACAAUCAACCUCACUAUAUAUACAUGUUAUAAAUAACACCCCUAUUUGCUAAGGCAAGGUGGCAUGCUGCCCUUGCACCACCUCAUUUCUUUUUCUCAAGAGUAGGUACCACUAAGCAUGAUUUUAAGAAGCACACCUCUAGUGCCCCAAGGAUGAGACAACCGCUGCCCAUUAACGUAGAAACAAGGAAGUGAAGAGUAAUGAUGCUACCCACUUUCCUUGUCUCCACAUUUCUAAGCAUGAACUCCAAGGCCAUGUUUUUCAUUAGUUACACCAACAACUACCGACUCAUACUUCUUUCUAGGAACCAUUUACGGAGAAUUUUCAUCUAACAUGCUCCACAUUCAAACACCACUGCCCCAACACAACUCGAGUGUAAUUCGAACUCCUCUCAUAUUCGCAUAGUCUCUAAGUGUUGAAUGUUGCCCUUGCACACUUUUGCACCUGCUACUCUCUAGCGCAUGCGCUGCCCAUACAUACCUUGGCACUAUUGCCUUGUGCCAUCUCGCAUUUUGCCUAACUCGGCCGGUGUAAGCGCCCUACACUUGUGUGCUUGCAAGAUAUGGUGUGCGUGUCCCUAUGUGCGUUAUCUCACUCUCCUCUGCGUUCCAACAAUGUGCACUUGCUGUCACGGCCCUGCCUGUGUGUCAGACUUGCCUUGCUCACAAGCACGCUCAUGUUACUAUUACGGCUUGACACAUGGUAACAAGCCAAGAUUUAGCAUCGACCAUCGUAGUCUACGGCAGUGACACUAGCCACCCACCACCCGUGAUGGGCUUGUCUAGCAGUCUAGCACACUAGUCAAGGCCGUUAUUACACUUGACAGGUUCUUAGGGCACGCAAUAAGACAGUUUAGGUGCGAGCUUGAUAUUUUAUUAGAGAAAUUCUAGAAUAUCUCUGAUGUACUACAAUCAAUUAAUGCAUGCAUGACAUGUAUAAUUGAAUUUAAUAUAACCACUACUUGUAUGAUGAGUUUUCAAAAUAAAUGCACACAUGUUAUAACAUCAUUUAUUUGUUAUAUGGUUAACAUGGUACCUCUGAAGUAUUCUAGAAUUUAUCAUUUUAUUGAGCACCUCAUGCUUGUUAUUACUUGAUAUGCAUUGGGCGUUCAAAGUACAAAAAGUUAAAUUUAUUAAUUUUUCCCAAAAUCUUGGCCAUUUUCAUAAAGUUUCCAAUUUCAUGGUUCCUUUCACUAAGGGCCCUUCUCAGUUAUCACCUUCGGAAAAAAAAGAAGAGAAAAACAAACACAUACUCAUUUCCUCACUUCUUGCAAAUCAUCAUCAAACUCUGAACUGAACCAAUAAUUUGCUUCUAUUUGCAGCGACUAUUUAAAAAAAAAGAAGACAAACUUCAUUUGUGUCUUCAAUAAUUGAGCAGUCUUUCCACAUAUAGCUAAUUUAACCUCUCCACUCACAUAGGAUUAGUGCCAAUUGACUCAGAUUCUCGCAAACAAAUUUUCAAAGGGGCAAAGCAAGAAGAAGAAAAAUUGGACGGUGCAAAGUUUUUUGUACCAACUAAAAGUAAGUACAUAUUUCUUUAUCCAUAUUCGCCCUUUAGACUGCCUAUUUAGUAUAAACUGCUUUAACCACCCUUUCCGUAUUAAUUUAUUAUCUCAUUCUCUUCUUUUGGCACAGGAACCCUCCACCUGUUACUUGAUGUUUCGAUUAUAAUGUCAAUUCCAUUGUCAUUCUACUUUUAACUUUAAUUUUGUUUCUUUUUCCCCAAAUGGAAUAACUAGGCCCGCUUAGUGGUUAAGAGUAGUGCAAAUUUAUGUAAAGCAAAGGAAUACUAAUAUUCUUAUUUAGAGAUAAGCAUUGCAUUUACCCAACGAGAAAGAAUAAUGCUAACGGGGACCAUUUUGAAAAUGCGACACAUAACUGCUGAUCUGUGCUCUGUCAUUUUUUUUUUAAAUUCCUAUAGUCUUCUUUUCAAUAAAGUGAAAGAACCAUUUGAUUAGCCCCUGCAAGCUCUCUUACGUUUGCAAAGGUCAAUAUAUAUACCACACGGCAUUAUUGGAGAAAAUUUAACCAUAACAAUGCAGCAGCAGCUGGUGCUGCUUAUGGUUCCUUCUAUCUGAACUUCCACGCUUUGUGUGUGACACAACACAGAAAAUGUGGAAGAAGAAGAAGAAGAAGAAGUUUAUAAAGACAGCGAGCUAGCGAAGAUGAUGAUAAGAAUGUCAUACGCUGAAUACAAGGUAAUCUUCUUCCUCCCCGUAGGUAAGAGGAUGAACAGGCAAGUCAUAUAGAGGCAAAGGGAAGGCAACGCCUUUCUUCCGGGUUUGUUAUGUUUUUAUGUUGUUUACCAUUUUCGCACCAUUAUCUCUGUAAUAGCAGAUUCAGGUACCCUAAAGAAUGUAAUGCUACAACAUCCUUAGCCAUUUACAUAAAAUAUACAGGAGUACUUGUCAAAAAAUGGGGCUGCUUAAUGUAAUCGUAUGCAUCCAUAUGCUGCUUAAUUUGCUUCUCUUAUUUUCUCUGUGUUGGUGCCAAUUUCUGUCCACACGGCAAAGAAAUGAAACCAUGAUUGACAUGUGACCCCCCUUGCUCUGUUGAAAGCUUUCUUGCGUUUGUGUUCGUAUCCUUUUUGUAAGGCAAUAUCUGAGUUAACAAAAGAAUAAACUGGGUUUAGUUUAAUUGCUAACAUAGUAAGUAACAAAUAUAUACAUACAAUCGAUGUGCUUCAGACCUUUGCGUGCACUCCAUCGAAAGAUUGUUCCAGUAAUGGCAUUAACGAAUCAAAAAGGAGAAUAAGAAAUGAUAACCACACACGCACAAGCACAGGGCUUGGGCGCACCUGUCAAAACAAUACAACUGAAUUGCCGAUAGCACCAGUUAAGAGGAGCACUGAUAUUUGAACAGCAGGUCGACAGCAAGACAAAGGAAAGCGUGUUGAUGUUCACACAGUUUAUGCACAGUGUUGUCGUUCCCAAUUUUCUAUCGUCUUGAUGUCAUAUAGUGUUCAAAUAUUAUUUUUCAACAGUCCUGAGUCAAAAGAAUGUUCAGUUAACUCCUCCAUACAUGAUUCCAUAACCAGAAUAUUAACACAACAAUAACCCAAGACACGCACCGGCAUGAUUAAUUCAGCGCAUUCACCUAAUAAAAGCAUGCAAUGUCUAUAUACGACUGCUGAAUCAAAUAUAUAAACCACUGGUUUCGAACCAUUCUCAGACGAUAAUUCAUUCCUCUGAACUGAACCUGCAAAGAUCCAAGGACAGCAGACACAUACAAACAAUGAUAACAAAACCCAAACGCAAUGGCUUAGGCACCAACAGCAAAGAGAUUUUCAGGUUAAAUGAAAAACAUUUUUUUAUCAACGUACGGAUUUCAACUCUAACAAACUCUAACAAAUCAACGUACUGUAGGCCAAGUACAAUCUUGCAAUACUAGAAUUAAAAUAAAACAAAUACAUACAGCUUGCACAUCAAAUUAUUAAUAUCAUGAAAUUAUAUCUUUACAUUGAUAAAUGUGAGGGUGUACAACAAAAUAAAUCUGCAGUUGUUCACUCUCGAGAUUAGUGUAAGCAAGAAAAAGCAGGGAUGAAAAUGGAACACUCACUAUCAUUUAGUGAUCAGAUAUCGCGAUAUCACAUAAUCAUUCUUUGCUCAACAUUUAAUUUUAAUAAGCCUGGGGAAAAAUUCUUGACUACAAAAAUCAUGUAUCCCAUCCACAUGGGAAACUAUAAUCUAUCAUAUCACUAAUUAACCAAAUGAUUACUUUUUUACUACUGUUAUUAUUAUUUUUCGUCAUCAACUCCACUCCGCCUCCAACUAUGAAAUCAGCUUAGUGCAUUUUUGCAUUACGGAGGCACUAACCAUCAAAUAUUUAGAGACUUUUCAUAGUUUCAGAAACCAAUCAGCUUAGUGCAUUUUGGCAUAACCAAAGCACUUCCCUAUCAAAGAUCCAGAGUUUUUUUCAUAGUUUCAUAAACCAUGUAUGUAAUACUUGCAGCAGGUACAACCUUGAGAAGGUUUGGAAAAAUUCCUUUGUAGAAACCCCUAUAACCUUCAUUCUGAAGAGUCCUCCAAAAUACAUCAGACAUUCCCUUAUAUGAAGCAGCAGAUUUUGAACGUUGGGCUUGCAUUCUGGAAAGAAAAACAGUGUUAUGCAUGAGAAGAAGCGCAGUAAAUCUACAAUAUGACCAGAUCAGAUGGACGAAAAAUUCCAAGCAUCUAUAACAAAGAAUUUUCACCAUGGACAAAUGAAAACUUAUUUCAUUUGUAACCUCAUACCUGGUUCUAAUAACCUGUAAUGGAUAAACACACGUUGCUCCGAGAGCUCCUGAAAUUGUCCCACAUCCAAGUUGCACAAGAGGACCAGGUUCUACAGAAAAGGUGAAGUUUUCAGAAAGAAAUUCCCCAAUAAGAGCAUACAUAAAUAUCUGAAUAUAUAAACAAAAAAUGAAACAAGAACAAAACGUUGAAAAACAGAUAGACAGAUGAUUGUACCACUGUCAGUAAGAAUGUACGUCCUUGACAGAUCUUUUAAAGUUUCAUACGCUGCAAGGUCAAUGCCAGCAUACGGGAUAAUCCCAAGAAGAGAUGGCACAAGACCUUUAUAGAAUGCCCGAGGACCUUCAUGAACCAAUAUAUCCUUAGUAAGCGUACCUAAGUUUGGAGCCUUUCCACCUUCACAAGCAUGAGUCUGUAACCGUGUUUUCACAAGAUCCAAUGGAUAGAUAGCAGUCUGUGCGACCGCACCUGCCAUACCACCAGCCAAAAGUCUCCCAAAAGCACCUAUAUCAUCCUUUUCUUCCCCUAUAUAAUCUCCAAUUGCAUUCUUCAAAAGUUCAUAAGCAUGAAAUUUUAUGGCACUUUCAGGUGCAACCUUCAGAACAUUUAACCCAUUACCUCGGAAAAAUCCCAAAAAACCUUCUUCCUUCCAUAUCUUUCUUAUAGUUGGCACAAGACGAGCUUGUGCCGUCUGGACUUGCAAUACAACCUUCAGGCGGUCAAGAGGAGCAGUUGCAGUACGAGAAGCAGCACCUGCUAUUCCUCCAGCAAUAAAGUAUUUGCUUCUCUGAACAUGUUUACUGAUGCCUUCUGGAAUAACAGCCUGUUCUCCAAUAUCUACGAGGCAUACCCUCUCCCAAUGAUGAUAAAUAUUUUCAAUAGUUGCCUCAUGAGGAUAGAGUAGAAGGAAAUCUCUCCAUUCUUCAAAAGUUAUGAUUCCAUUAUUAUCCUUAUCAACAUGCUCCACAAAACGAGCCAAUUCCUCGUCACUAAUCUCGAUCCCUGAAAAACAGAAACUGCCAGGGCUUAUAAGAUUGAAAACCUAACAAAGUUCAAAAAAAUAUGCUAGGAAGGGCUUCCACUAAUUCAAUAUGAAGAAAUAUUACCAAAUAAUGUACAACAGGCAUGAUCAAAGGACAAGGAAGAGGGAUAUGGAAACAGGAAGGGUUGAUUUCAUUUUAUCCCCAAUUACCAUUAAGACGACAAAAUUUUUUUCAUCAACACGCCCCUAUUUGCCCUCAUCUUUUGAAUGGUAAAUGGGAGUAAGUUGAGGUUUACAAAGUUUAUGGGUAUUUGAGGAUAACCUUUAUAAUUAUUAUUAUGAAUUUUUCUCGUGAUUUAGUCAUCCCUUGUCAUCCUUUGUGUUUGUUCUUGUAUUUGCAAAUUUUAGUGCAAUCUCAAAGUUUGAUUUAUACAGGGCUCUCGGAGUUGUGGUUCAUUUUACAUCACAGUAGUUGAUUCCAUACAGUAUGUAUGCCAAGGAGUUUAAUAGCUUUGUCUUAAAUGAUUUCUUCACAGUAAGAGAUGUGGAAGCAGCUACUAGCUAGUAAUGUGGUGGAUACCAUAGUUUUAUCUCUAGGCUGCAAAUUCAUAAACUGUUACAACAUUUUUAAAAGUGCUCUAAACCGUUGAGCUCAAUCCUCAUAAUGGAUAUAAAUUUCUAACCAGUAAUCCUAUAACAAUAAGAGUAAAAUUAGGAUUCAUGCAGCAAAAUGAGAUAAGAAAGCAAAAAGGAAAUGGGUACAGUUACACAUCUCAGGACAAACAAUUGGCAAGAUAACAGACAAACAAACUGGAUGAAGGAAACUUUCAAAGUGACAAAUCACAAGAACCGUUGAGCUCAAUCCUCAUAAUGGAUAUAAAUUUCUAACCAGUAAUCCUAUAACAAUAAGAGUAAAAUUAGGAUUCAUGCAGCAAAAUGAGAUAAGAAAGCAAAAAGGAAAUGGGUACAGUUACACAUCUCAGGACAAACAAUUGGCAAGAUAACAGACAAACAAACUGGAUGACGGAAACUUUCAAAGUGAAAAAUCACAACAAGCUUCCCAACCUUAAAUCUUCACAGAAAACAAUGUGUUUCUUCCUCGCAAGGAAGAAACCCUCACAUUCCAUGACCAAUUACAGCAGACAUAUCCAUCUUAUAAGCAGACACUACAGCCAAACCCCACCAACAUCCUCCCUUCAACCUCCCCCACAUACACCAACUAACACCAAAACACAACUUAUUACGGAAAUCUAAAUCAAGGGCACUACAAAAUUUCACACACCGUCGUGCAAAACAAAAGGGACUUCCAACUGAACUAAAGCUAUUUUUCCUGCAAUUAUGACCUAGCAAAAAUGAGAGGAACUAGGCAACCACAUUUAAAAUCUUUACUAACUGAUGUGACCUGAAUAAUCGAAAUAAACUGGCUUUUGGAUAAUGCUAUCUCUCUCUACUCAUCCUCAAACAUAAAGGAACAAAUUUCAAACUUAAAUCUCUCUCUAUCACUAUGAACAGUUGCAAUUUCACCCGUUCGAAAAGAAAAUCAUCCUUGUCCAGUAACAGACAAAUAAAUAAUUCACAAUAGUCAAUGACAAGCAAUACAAGCUCAAAAGUAAACAAUAAAGGAAAAACAAACAGUACAUGUACAAUUAAGCAUAAAGAGCAUGUUGUACCAGCCUUAACAAGCGCGUCCCAAAGCUCUUCGGGCAAAAUGCAUCCAUUGUGCUCGACAUCAAUAGUUUGAAAAAUCUUAUAAAGCUCCAUCUCUUUAAUGUCCAUGUAUCGACGAAACUCCUGAUAAUCGACGCGUCCGUCUCUGUUUGCGUCGCAGACUUUGAACAAAUCCUUCGCGUACUUGUACUGUGCCGGAAUCUGCAGCGCCGACAACCCGCUCUCGAUCUGCGCGUAAUCCAAGUAUCCGGAAUUCGCCGCAUCGAAGAAAUUGAAGAGGCUCCGGAUUCGGAUGUCCCUCUCUUCCUUGCUCUCGCGUAACGCGAGCAGCACGUGGUCCAUCGUGACCGGACCCGAUUUCCUCACCGGGUUGCAUGAAGCGGAGCGGGUCGACUCCAUCUUUGGCAAUCCGACGCGUUCCACCGCGUGUCCUGCCCCUGCUCCGGUCAUCUGCCCCUAGAUUUUAAUCAAAAUUACGAGAUUCGAUUGUUGCUCCACAAGCAUCGAUUCAAUCUGGAACUUGUAUGUAUAAUCUGAUAAAGGAAAUUGAAAAAUCGUUUCCUUUUCCGAUGAUGAGUCAAACGAAAGAGUCAAAAUUCUCAAUUGAGACAGCUGAUUGGUGAACUUAUGAGGCGAUUUCUAAAAGGAGCACAAAAUAGUGAAUUUUCAAAAAUAAUAAUUUUUUAUUUUAUUUUUAUGUUCGCGGAAUGUACCAUCGCGCUAACCAAGAUUCGCCAGCUUUUGCACAUUAUUUAUUUGAUGCUAAACGGCUUAAACCGGUUUGCUUUUGACAAAAUAGAAAAGGCCCUAUGAUUUUGGUGAAAUUACCGAACAGGGAAUUGGCACGUGCAGAUCGUGGGGGUUUGAUCGAUUUUUUCGGCGAAUGGGACUGGGGAGAUAACGAGAUAACGCGAUCCCGAUUCACACUACACAAAGCACCUACCGUCCUUUAAAAAUAAAUAAAUAAAUUCUUUCGGUGUUCGUUGACGCUUCUUUUUGGUUCAAAAUAUAAAAAUAACUUAUUAUUAAAUAGCACACUAGCAGAUUAAAAACAUGAAAUAAAUUUUUUUUUAAAAAAAGUAACAUAUGUGGUUCCUCUAAGGCGAAGAUACUCAAACUUGGCAGCUGCCACAGGAAAUAGCGACCCAAUAAUGCUUUGAAUUUUCUCAACUUAGGACAGGUCCCUUACAAAUGUCAACAUAGUGUUGAACACAACCAGCUACAGGAGUCGUAGAGAAAAUGAAAGAAAUGGACAUAAAAGUCCAACAAAGGAUCACAUAAAUCACACAGUUCCAAUUACUAACAACAGUAAUGGCAUUAAUAUUGGGCUAGACCAUAACCCACAUUGGUCCACAGCAGACUGUGAGUCGCCCGGGUUUAUUCACACUCGUCUAGCAAAGGGAAACGAGAGUUUCAAUAACAUAUGGUACAGAGGUAACAUUAUUUCUGUCUAAUACACAUGGCUAAGCCUCAUAAGAACAAGUUCAGAUCAUAAUUGGUUGGUAUCCAUCUUCGUACUUAUUCCUACGCCUGUAACCCACAGCGGCAGCAAUGACAGCAACUCCGGCUAAAACAAAUGCUCCCCAAACAAAAGCAGAAUGGUUUAUAUCACUGUCCAUCUGCAAAAACCAGGCAGUUAUCACUUAUCAGAUGCUUGGUGUUUCUUGUUAAAAUCACGAAGAGGAUUAUAGUUCUAUUAUCGCCUAAGAAUCAUAUUAAACAGUUUCUACUCCCGCAAAUAAUAAUCUUCUCAUCAACACUAAUCAAACGACUGUCUAUAAUCCAUUCUCUAUACCAUUUCGAUAAUCUAAGAGGCAAGACAAUAUUCCUACUCAAUUCUAGAAUAAGUUUUUUGUAUCUGCCGUAUUUUUGCAUGUGCUCACAAGCAUAAUAACUUGUAUUGCUGAACUCACUAUCUAAAAAUAUGAAAAGGGAAUCUUACCUUGUUGAAAACAUCUAAGAAUGAACUGGACUCGGGCACCCUGUCUGCAACCAAAAUGUAGAAAAGCCCCAUGACUCCUGUGUGUUCGCGGGAGCUACUAUAGCUAGAUUCCACAAUCAGAGUUUCCCCAUCUGUUAUCCUGAGGGAGCCUGGUUUAGGAUAACAGGUCGACAUUCCUACAAUAUAUCCAGCCUCGUUUCCAGCUUCCAUCCCAUUUCCAUAAGCUGGAAUUGAAGAGCACAUAAGUUGUCCAUCCUGAUUUCACCAAAAACAAGCAUAUCAAUGAAAGAAGACAUUAGGGAAUCAAAUUCCUUCCACAAUCAUCACAGUGGGUUCUGAACAAAUUACAUAAAAUGAGUAAUGAAGAAUUGUUCUUCAAAACAAAAAGGGAAAACAUCCAACCAAGUUGAGGGACCAUUACACUAUAUAUGAAACAUCAAUGUUAUUGAAACUUUGAGGAUGACAAACAAAUCAAGCAGCUGGAAGCUCAAAAAUAGUCUAUUUGGAAAUAUGAUAAUGUCACACUCACGUGUCCUCAACAUCUAAUUAAUGUUAUAAACAUUUACAUAAUCUUAAAACAUUCUUUAUGUGCAAAAAAUAGUAACUUCUGUCAUAGCUGACAAUUCUUUUGCAGACUAAAGAAACAUUAACUUUCAAAGCAUAAUCUAACAAGAAAAUUAAAAAGAUCAAGAACUAGUACACGUCUUCAUACAUCACCAGUUUACCACCAACCUGGCAGAUAAGAAUGAUAAAAUUACAAUGGAAAGUAGAACAUAGACAAAAGAAAAGGCAUGCCACGUGAAUGCAAAUUAGAUAUUGAAAUCACCUCUCUGUAUAGAGCUGCACCAAUGCCCCCUGAGUGCUGAUGGGCAACGCCAUAGAUGAUGUAACCACUGGUUGGCAUCGUGACACUGGUCCUUUUGGUGUGGACACACCCAUUAUCAGCUACAUCAUUGGCUUUACAGGGAUCAACAGAAUAUUCAGUCUGCAAUCAGAGAUAUUCCGAUGGGUCCACAUUUGUGAAGAAAUUAAGUCACUAAGAGUUGCAAGAAAAUCACAAAUCAAAACGUUUACACUAUUGAUUAUCAAAUUUAAGGGCUGAAGUAAGUGUUUGUGCUUAUGUGCUCUUGAAUGUCUAUAAAUUUGUGCACAUUUAAUACAAAAUCCUCCACAUUAAACAAAAAAUAUCUUCAACGCAAGUCAUUUCAUACACACAUAUUAAACAGUAUGCCGUCAAAGAGGACUCUAAGCCCAAAGAAAGUUUUCCAGAAAAUUACGAUUAGCUUUAUGCAGAUUCCAACUUUGUGUUCGUUGCAUCAAUGAACCAAUUCCAUUUUUCCAGUAAUGCACCAAAACAAGCAUUAAAUGAUUAUAUAACAACCUAGUUCAGUGAACCAUAAAAGAUGAAGAAAGUAAGGCCAAGGCUAUUCUACGGAACGUCCCAAAUCAAAUUCAUUUCUGUUUCAGCUUGGAGAGUUUUGUAAAAAGAAUUUCACUUACCUGGCAAUGAUGCUGUAUGCUGAAUCCAGUGGAAUCACUAAACCAUGUUUCAUUGUCAGUGACAUCAAAUAUGUAGAUUUUAACAGGCACAAUGGAAGUGUCCCAAUCAACCCACUUUACGGUAUAUCUCAAAUAGAGGCUCCUCCUGGCACCUUCAAAACCAUUUUUCACUCUACACUGAGUACCAUCGUAACAACACGCAAAACCACCUCUGUAAUUUGGCCUUAGCGGCUGGCCAUACUCAUCCACUGUAACAUUGUACAAAUCGCACUUGCAUUCGGUGCAUCCCAACCUAUCUUCGACACCUCGUGUAUCAAUUGCAUGGACAUUAAGAAACCAUCUCUCUUCAUAGCCUGCAGGAAUUGUAGCAGGAUUGCCAAUUUCUAUACCAUAAGGAUCUGGAAUAUGCGUUGCUGUUCCUCGUGUCUCAGAGCCAAGGCCAAAAAACUGCCCGAGACAAUUCCUCUGGCAUAUGCCAUCAUUUC
rnacentral:lncRNA from 1 species